rnacentral:ncRNA from 2 species
CAAAUAACAAAAGAGUUAGGUGCCCUACGGGGCUUAAUAGGGAAGUCCGGUGAAAAGCCGGCGCGGUCCCGCCACUGUAAUGGGGAGCAAAUCCAAGAAUAUGCCACUGGGAUGAAAAGUCCUGGGAAGGUUUGGAUGAGCCGUGAACCAGAGUCAGGAGAACUGCCUAGCUGACAGUCGCCGU